UACGUAGGGUGCAAGCGUUGUCCGGAAUUAUUGGGCGUAAAGAGCUCGUAGGCGGUUUGUUGCGUCGGCUGUGAAAUCCCGAGGCUCAACCUCGGGUCUGCAGUCGAUACGAGCAAACUAGAGUGUUGCAGGGGAGACUGGAAUUCCUGGUGUAGCGGUGAAAUGCGUAGAGAUCCGGAGGAACCCCAGAGGCGAAGGCGGCGCCCUGGCUCGCAACUGACGCUCAGACACGACAGCAUGGGGAGCGAACGGG
rnacentral:rRNA from 1 species